UACGUAGGGUCCGAGCGUUGUCCGGAAUUAUUGGGCGUAAAGAGCUCGUAGGCGGUUUGUCGCGUCUGCUGUGAAAUCCCGAGGCUCAACCUCGGGCCUGCAGUGGGUACGGGCAGACUGGAGUGCGGUAGGGGAGAAUGGAAUUCCUGGUGUAGCGGUGGAAUGCGCAGAUAUCAGGAGGAACACCGAUGGCGAAGGCAGUUCUCUGGGCCGUAACUGACGCUGAGGAGCAAAAGCGUGGGGAGCGAACAGG
rnacentral:rRNA from 1 species